AACUCCCAAACCCAAUGUGAACGUUACCAAACUGUUGCCUCGGCGGGAUCUCUGCCCCGGGUGCGUCGCAGCCCCGGACCAAGGCGCCCGCCGGAGGACCAACCUAAAACUCUUAUUGUAUACCCCCUCGCGGGUUUUUUUAUAAUCUGAGCCUUCUCGGCGCCUCUCGUAGGCGUUUCGAAAAUGAAUCAAAACUUUCAACAACGGAUCUCUUGGUUCUGGCAUCGAUGAAGAACGCAGCGAAAUGCGAUAAGUAAUGUGAAUUGCAGAAUUCAGUGAAUCAUCGAAUCUUUGAACGCACAUUGCGCCCGCCAGUAUUCUGGCGGGCAUGCCUGUCCGAGCGUCAUUUCAACCCUCGAACCCCUCCGGGGGGUCGGCGUUGGGGAUCGGCCCUCCCUUAGCGGGUGGCCGUCUCCGAAAUACAGUGGCGGUCUCGCCGCAGCCUCUCCUGCGCAGUAGUUUGCACACUCGCAUCGGGAGCGCGGCGCGUCCACAGCCGUUAAACACCCAACUUCUGAAAUGUUGACCUCGGAUCAGGUAGGAAUACCCGCUGAACUUAAGCAUAUCA
rnacentral:rRNA from 1 species